rnacentral:rRNA from 1 species
UACAGAGGUCUCGAGCGUUAGUCGGAAUCACUGGGCUUAAAGCGUACGUAGGCGGAUGUGAAGGCGUCGUGUGAAAUCCCUCGGCUCAACCGGGGAACUGCACGGCGAACCACACGUCUUGAGACAAGUAGGGGCGGUCGGAACGAUAGGUGGAGUGGUGAAAUGCGUUGAUAUCUAUCGGAACGCCGAAGGUGAAAGCAGGCCGCUGGGCUUGUUCUGACGCUGAGGUACGAAAGCGUGGGUAGCGAACGGG